AACGAACGCUGGCGGCGCGUCUUAAACAUGCAAGUCGAACGAUCUGUAGCAAUACAGGGAGUGGCGGACGGGUGAGGAACACGUAGGAAUCUACCUUGAAGAGCGGGACAACUUUGGGAAACCGGGGCUAAUACCGCAUAGUACAGAGAUGUUAAAGGGCUAGCAAUAGUCGCUUCGAGAUGAGCCUGCGGUCUAUCAGCUUGUUGGUGAGGUAAUGGCUCACCAAGGCUACGACGGAUAGCCGGUCUGAGAGGAUGAUCGGCCACACUGGCACUGAGACACGGGCCAGACUCCUACGGGAGGCAGCAGUUAAGAAUCUUGUGCAAUGGGGGAAACCCUGACGCAGCGACGCCGCGUGAAGGAUGAAGGCUUUCGGGUUGUAAACUUCGGUAGACUGGGAAGAAGAAAUACGUUCGUUGAGGGCGUAGUAGUGACGUACC
rnacentral:rRNA from 1 species